rnacentral:ribozyme from 1 species
UGGACCUUUAUUUUUACCAAAAGCGACAUAUAUCAUCUGUAGGCAUGGAGAAACAGAUUUCAAUGCAGAAGGAAGAUUUCAAGGAAUCUGUGACAAAUCUAGAUUGACCAACACAGGAAGACUGCAAGCAGUAGAAUUAGGGAAAGUAAUUUCCACAUUUAAUAUCUCUCAUGCAUUUGUCUCACCGCUAACACGAGCUAGAGACUC